rnacentral:lncRNA from 1 species
UGUUUUAUGUUAUAGAUAAUUGUGUAUGCUCUAUAUUAUAUGGUUUUACUUGUUCUAACCAUUUUAUUCCUAAUAUUAUGUCUGCUUUUUGCAUUUCUUCUUAUUCCUAAUAUUAUGUCUGCUUUUUGCAUUUCUUCCUUUAUUUUAAAUUCUAUUUUUAUUUUUCUAACUCCUAUUGUUAUUUCUUUUUCUGCUAUAUUUUUAGUGUUUAUUAAGCUUCUUGGUAGAUCUGG